rnacentral:lncRNA from 1 species
ACAACAACAACAGCAUAAUGAAGCACCUCCUCAAGUUUUAGAGACUACUGCAGAUGACCCAAAUCACACUACUACACAAUCUUGGCCAAACCUUUUUAAUCAUCUUCUAGAAUUUGAAAGUCAUAACCGUGGGUUCGGGCCCACACGGAUGCUGCCAUCUUCUACUGAUCCACUUCAAGCUGAGUUGGAAAAAUUAAGUGAACUGAAGAAUACUGUUAAUAAUUUUUAUGAAGCUAUUGUGAGUAUUGUCUAAUCCGUUUGACUACCUUACUUUACUUGACUAUUUAUAAACAUUUUUUGUUUUGUUUGUGUAGGAAUUAAUAUUUAAUGCUUGUUGGUGUCUGUUUUUGUGCUUGUGCAGAAGGUGAAGCUAAAAGCUGAGUAUGAGAAGGAAAGAGCAGAAAUUCUUGCUCGGCUUAAUCGUAAAUAUGAUGAUAAAUCUCAUAAAGCUGAGCUGGCGUUUCACACAAAAAAGAAUGAAAUUGAUAUCAAUUUUAAUAAAGUGGUAAGGAAUAAAAUAUUGGCGGACGCUUUCAGGUCAAAAUGCAGAGAUCUCAACCCUUUUGACCAUUCCCAAAUACAAAGUAGGUCUUCUUUCUUGACUUGUUGAUAGAUUGAUAUAUCUGUCUCUAUUUAGUAUUUACACUUGUCAAAAUGAUUUGUUUUUAGUUGUCACCAUCCAUAUUAUAUGUAUGACCUGCAGUUUUUCAAACAGGAGAAAUGCAGCAUCUGCAUCACUUUCAUGGUCAACAUUUCUCUUCACCAGGUCAAUCUUCCGGAAGCAACAAGCUGCACCAAACACCCCAAAUUGUUCAUCAGCCUGCAAAUCUUUUCUCACACGCACCUACCAGACCACAAUCUUACCCCAACUCAAUCACCCCACAACCAUCUAAUAUCAGCACCACCAUACCACCACCUACCAACAGCCCCGCUACCAGACUACCACCACACAUGAACCACCCUUCAAGCACACCACCAACCAGAUCACCACAAAUGAGCCUCCCUUUAAGCACACCAAACAAACCACCACCUAAUAUAACCUCCACCACCCCUUCUAUCAGAAACACACGAGUAACCGGUGAAAUCCGUGCUCCGGCCCCACAUAUUCGACCUUUUAAGCCUUCGACAGAGCACAGGGUGAUGUUAGGUCAGCAUGCAUCCAGCAGCCUGCCGCCAUCCUCCGCCACUUUUUCUCAUACUCCGUCUAAACCACCACUUGCACCGCCAUCACAAACACCAACAAAUCAUAACAACAGCCACCCUACUCAACCACCAUCAUCACAAAUGCCGACAAACCAUAACAGCCACCCUGCUCAGCCACAGCCAGUAGCACCAUCUGAGCAGCAUCCACCUGCCACAUCAUCAUCCUCACUGCCAUCGGUACCUGUAAGUCAGACUGGUCUUUAUAGCUCAUCAUCACCAUCACCAUCAUCAUCAGGUGGUUUUAUGAAUUUGCUUAUGGAUGUUGAUAAAGAAGCUGGUUUUCAUCAGAAAGAUAAUGUGUUGCCGAUGCCAUCUCCAUCUCCAUCUCCAUCUGAGGUAUUUGGUAAAUGUGGUGAUGGUGACCUAGUUUGUUUGUCGGAUGAUGAUUAAAUGUAGUGUUAUAGUUUCUAGACCUGUUUUUCUUAACAAACUUUUCUUUCAAGAAAAUCCUUACAUUUGCUAGUAGACACUAGACACUAGAACCAUAUUUUUCUCUAAACCCACAACAAUGAUUAAUCUCCGAUUUUAUAUUAAUAUACAAGAUAUAGUUUAAUGAGAGGUUACAGAUUUAUACAUUCAUC